rnacentral:rRNA from 1 species
CUAAGUAUAAGCAAUUAUACCGUGAAACUGCGAAUGGCUCAUUAAAUCAGUUAUCGUUUAUUUGAUAGUACCUUACUACUUGGAUAACCGUGGUAAUUCUAGAGCUAAUACAUGCUGAAAACCCCGACUUCGGAAGGGGUGUAUUUAUUAGAUAAAAAACCAAUGCCCUUCGGGGCUCCUUGGUGAUUCAUAAUAACUUCUCAGAUCGCAUGGCCUUGCGCCGGCGACGGUUCAUUCAAAUUUCUGCCCUAUCAACUUUCGAUGGUAAGGUAUUGGCUUACCAUGGUUUCAACGGGUAACGGGGAAUUAGGGUUCGAUUCCGGAGAGGGAGCCUGAGAAACGGCUACCACAUCCAAGGAAGGCAGCAGGCGCGCAAAUUACCCAAUCCCGACACGGGGAGGUAGUGACAAUAAAUACUGAUACAGGGCUCUUUUGGGUCUUGUAAUUGGAAUGAGUACAAUUUAAACCUCUUAACGAGGAACAAUUGGAGGGCAAGUCUGGUGCCAGCAGCCGCGGUAAUUCCAGCUCCAAUAGCGUAUAUUAAAGUUGUUGCAGUUAAAAAGCUCGUAGUUGAACCUUUGGCCUGGCUGGCAGGUCCGCCUCACCGCGUGCACUUGUCCGGCCGGGCCUUCUUUUCUGGAGAACCGCAUGCCCUUCACUGGGUGUGUUGGGGACCAGGACUUUUACUUUGAAAAAAUUAGAGUGUUCAAAGCAGGCCUUUGCUCGAAUACGUUAGCAUGGAAUAAUAGAAUAGGACGUGCGGUCCUAUUUUGUUGGUUUCUAGGACCGCCGUAAUGAUUAAUAGGGACAGUCGGGGGCAUCAGUAUUCAAUUGUCAGAGGUGAAAUUCUUGGAUUUAUUGAAGACUAACUACUGCGAAAGCAUUUGCCAAGGAUGUUUUCAUUAAUCAGUGAACGAAAGUUAGGGGAUCGAAGACGAUCAGAUACCGUCGUAGUCUUAACCAUAAACUAUGCCGACUAGGGAUCGGGCGGUGUUAUUAUUUUGACUCGCUCGGCACCUUACGAGAAAUCAAAGUGUUUGGGU